rnacentral:lncRNA from 1 species
CCUUCCUUCCAGGUGCGACCUCUGAUCGAACAGAUAUUGGGGACUCUUUUCGUGUUUCUAAAUCUGCUAUCUUCGUUCUUGUUCACGGAUUCACUAGAUCUUCAUAUCCAGCGCUCAAUAGGGUUAGUUAAUCAUGAGAUAUUGUUUGUUGAUCUAUUUUUAUGACAAUCUUGAUCAUUCCUCUGUUCCUAAAUGCUUAAAUUGUUUCGUAUUCGUUUGAUUCGUGCUGCAAAGUUGGCUUUUGUCC